AACGAACGCUGGCGGCGUGCUUAACACAUGCAAGUCGAACGCGAACGGGUUCUUCGGGACCUUAGUAGAGUGGCGCACGGGUGAGUAACGCGUGAGUUAUCUACCUCGGCAUCUGGAAUAACUCACCGAAAGGUGUGCUAAUACCGGAUACGUUGAGUAAUCAAGAAAGGUGGCCUCUCGUUGAUGCUACCGUGCUGAGAUGAGCUUGCGUACCAUUAGCUAGCUGGUGGGGUAAUGGCCUACCAAGGCGACGAUGGUUAGCGGGUCUGAGAGGAUGAUCCGCCACACUGGAACUGGAACACGGACCAGACUCCUACGGGAGGCAGCAGUGAGGAAUAUUGCGCAAUGGGGGCAACCCUGACGCAGCGACGCCGCGUGGAUGAUGAAGGCCUUCGGGUCGUAAAAUCCUGUCAGGUGGAAAGAAAUGUAUAUGUGCUAAUACCAUGUAUACUUGACGGUACCACCGAAGGAAGCACCGGCUAACUCCGUGCCAGCCGCCGCCGUAA
rnacentral:rRNA from 1 species